UUAUCGUCUUAGGUGGCGAACCCUAACAUCCAGCAGGAAUAAAGAUGUUUUGGAAGCAGUUGAAAGGCCCGCAAAGUAAAACAACAGAGUUAUUCGACUUUUUCCAUCAGCAACAACAGCAGCCUGAGCAACGGCCGCAUAGCAGUGUGAAAAAAAAAUCUCGGACGCAGUGCAGUUGUUCGCCGAUUAUUCGAAGAGCAUACGAAACUAUUUAUACGAUGUCGAUGGCAAUAUUCUGCUUGAUGUUUACACUCAAACCUCUUCAGUUCCAUUAGGUUACAACCACCCUGAAUUAUUAGAUGUCAAGAUAAAGAAAACAU